rnacentral:lncRNA from 1 species
UAUGGGCGCCUAAAAACUAUAAACUGCAAUACCCCGUCCGGUAUGAGGGUGAAACGAGCCGUCCCCAUACCCCGUCCGGUAUGGGCGCCAAAACAUAAACCUCAAUACCCCGUCCGGUAUGAGGGUAAAACGGGUCGUCCCGAUAUCCCGUCCAGUAUGGGCGCUAAAAACACAUAAGGUCUUCAUACCCCGUUCGAUAUGAGAGACCAUGUUUCAGGUAGGGUUCCCUACGAACCCGGUCCGUCCACCAUCUCCCAGGAUAUCUAGUCAGGUUGUCCACAUUAUCCAUUUAUCAAUUCACAUAACUUUUUUUCAUUUUCUUUGGCCUCAAUUAUCAAAUCAAACAUAAACACGUAAACU